AUGCCCACGUCUUCUUCUUCACCCACGGCCGCCGCGACCAACGCCGUCGAUCUCCACCACCGGCACCUCCCUGCCUCGCCGAGCUCGUCCACGGCCUCCUCAGGAGACAAAUUGGUUGGUGAAGGAGAGGUGCCUGGCAGUGAAACAAAGGGUUCUCCAAAUAGGACCUUUCGGCGGGACUCAAAACGGGGUGCUAAGCAGGAACCAUGUGGCACUGAUAAUGACGGGGAUGGAGAGGAUGAUGACGUGUCCCAGAGAGUAUCUAAAGCAUAUGAAAAAGCACAAGAAUCGUUUUUGGCGCGAAGAGCCGCGGGCCCGCCGCGUCAGCAAGUCUACUCUCUUCUCGCCCCUUCGUCGUCCUCAUCGCCUCGUUUCCCGUGGAGAAUCAAUGCCAAAACUGCCGCGCGCUGCCGCGCCGGUCAGUCUCCAUUGAUGCCUCACGGGUGGCGCAAUAAAGGCUGGGCGACGCGUCCCUCGGCUGCCACGCAAUCACGCCACGCGUAA
rnacentral:rRNA from 1 species